rnacentral:rRNA from 1 species
UACGUAGGGGGCAAGCGUUGUCCGGAAUUAUUGGGCGUAAAGCGCGCGCAGGUGGUGGAUUAAGUUGUGGGUAAAAGGCAAUGGCUCAAUCAUUGUAAGCCUGCAAAACUGGUUCACUUGAGUGCAGGAGAGGGGAGUGGAAUUCCCGGUGUAGCGGUGGAAUGCGUAGAGAUCGGGAGGAACACCAGUGGCGAAGGCGACUCUCUGGCCUGUAACUGACACUGAGGCGCGAAAGCGUGGGGAGCGAACAGG